GACGAACGCUGGCGGCGUGCCUAAUACAUGCAAGUUGAGCGCUGAAGGUUGGUACUUGUACCAACUGGAUGAGCAGCGAACGGGUGAGUAACGCGUGGGGAAUCUGCCUUUGAGCGGGGGACAACAUUUGGAAACGAAUGCUAAUACCGCAUAAAAACUUUAAACACAAGUUUUAAGUUUGAAAGAUGCAAUUGCAUCACUCAAAGAUGAUCCCGCGUUGUAUUAGCUAGUUGGUGAGGUAAAGGCUCACCAAGGCGAUGAUACAUAGCCGACCUGAGAGGGUGAUCGGCCACAUUGGGACUGAGACACGGCCCAAACUCCUACGGGAGGCAGCAGUAGGGAAUCUUCGGCAAUGGACGAAAGUCUGACCGAGCAACGCCGCGGGAGUGAAGAAGGUUUUCGGAUCGUAAAACUCUGUUGGUAGAGAAGAACGUUGGUGGGAGUGGAAAGCUCAUCAAGUGACGGUAACUACCCAGAAAGGGACGGCUAACUACGUG
rnacentral:rRNA from 1 species